rnacentral:rRNA from 1 species
CGCGAUUCGCCCUUCGGGGUGCAGCAGGCGCGAAAACUCUACAAUGCAGGCAACUGCGAUAGGGGAACAUCGAGUGAUCCUCAUAUUGGGGGUCUGUCCACUCGCCUAAAAAGCGGGUGUUAGCAAGGGCCGGGCAAGACCGGUGCCAGCCGCCGCGGUAAUACCGGCGGCUCGAGUGGUGGCCGAUAUUAUUGAGUCUAAAGGGUCCGUAGCCGGCUUUGCAAGUCUCUCGGGAAAUCCAGCGGCUUAACCGUUGGUCGUCCGGGGGGUACUACAUUGCUUGGGACUGGGAGAGGUAGGAGGUACUCAGGGGGUAGGAGUGAAAUCCUGUAAUCCUUUGGGGACCACCGGUGGCGAAGGCGUCCCACCAGAACAGGUCCGACGGUGAGGGACGAAAGCUAGGGGCACGAACCGGAUUAGAUACCCGGGUAGUCCUAGCCGUAAACGAUGCUCGCUAGGUGUCACAACAGUCGUGAACUGUUGUGGUGCCGUAGGGAAGCCGUGAAGCGAGCCACUUGGGAAGUACGACCGCAAGGUUGAAACUUAAAGGAAUUGGCGGGGGAGCAC